rnacentral:misc_RNA from 1 species
GAUGAAGAACGUAGCGAAAUGCGAUAAGUAAUGUGAAUUGCAGAAUUCAGUGAAUCAUCGAAUCUUUGAACGCACAUUGCGCCCGCCAGUAUUCUGGCGGGCAUGCCUGUCCGAGCGUCAUUUCAACCAUCAAGCCCCGGGCUUGUGUUGGGGACCUGCGUCCGACGCAGGCCCCGAAAACCAAUGGCGGGCUCGCUGUCCACACCGAGCGUAGUAGCUAACCUCGCUCCGGAGUGGCGCGGGCGCCUGCCGUAAAACCCCCCAAUUUUACAAGGUUGACCUCGGAUCAGGUAGGAAUACCCGCUGAACUUAAGCAUAUCAAUAAGCGGAGGA